UACACACAGAGCUGUAGUAACAACUUGAAAAUAGAUUUGAUUUGUAAAUCCCUUUUUUUACAAAUCGCUUUCUCAUAUAACAAUACAAACUGUAAUUUUACUAUGUGAAAGAUGAGGAACUACAAAAGUGUUCUUUUAAAACAGUAAUUCCGGGUUAAGUGAUUUGCUUUCAGCACACACAUGUUGUUGUUGGUGUAUGCACUUCCUUUAUACUGAAUUUUUUUGGUUUUCAGGCACUACUAGGAAGAAAGUCUGUUGUACUAGUAACACCAUAACAAUACUUCUGACAAAGCUGUCAAUGGAAGUACAAGUGUAUAUACCUGAAAUGAGUUUCUUGUUCCAACAAUCAAAGUGAUGAACUCCAGCUCCGCUUUCUGCUGCGGUGAUUGUUUGCAUUGCCAGGCACAUGGAAAUAACAUUCCUGUCUGUCAUACUCCAGCGAAGAAUGCAAUGUAUAAGUAAAGCUGUUACAUUGCAAUCUCCCACUGAGCAUCUCCAGAGGACUGUAUCUGACCAUGGGAGGAGUGUUUCAAGAUGUCAGAUGAAUCUCUCUCCAGAGGCCCUUAUUCCUGUCUACUAAUAAUAUAGCAGGUGUAGAAUGACUAGAUUAUUCUUGGACAUGUAACAGAUAGAAUUUUGAAAAUCAGAGAAGAAUAAUUCAGCAAUUGCCUACUGAUGACCAAUAUUUGAAUCUUUAAAAUGGAAACCUUUGAAAUUGCUGUGAAGCCAUAUAUAGGUAAAAGGGGUUGCUGAGAUGUAAAAAGAGUUUUCCUGUUGUGAACUGCAACCAGGAUCUAGUGAGUAUGAUCUGAUUAUCUCUGUUCUGGCUAUACACUGUGCAGAUAUCCAAAGUGGGAUGAUAGGUGUGGAUUAAAAUGCAGAAAUGGUGAGCUUAAGUAUCAGUUGUAAGCAACUCGGUCUUUAAAGACUCUGUUGUGUGCUUAAUGUUAUGAUUCAAUUGUAGGCUGUAUGUUUAUAAAGUGACUUACUACUUCUGUCAUUAAUUAAAGUAGUAUUGAUUUAUGAUGGCUAUUUUUUCUGCUAAAUUGGGAAGUGGAAGAACAUAGCCUGUUUGUAAUGGUUGAGGCAAGAGGUGGCAGCUCUGUGCUGCGUUUAUAAAAGGAAGAAUGUAUCCAACUCUUCUUUCUUUGCUCUUGCUACCUCUCCAUCCUGUCAAACACCCAACAAUUCCACCAGUCUAAUGCUGGAACGUUCCUCUUCUGCGUCCAAGAAAAUACCUAAUCUUAAUCACUCAGCUACUUGCUACCCAUCAUGUGUUUGAAGGGCAGUAAUUGCCUUUAUACAAGGGCUAGUUUCACUUGGGGGUAAACAUCUCCAUGCAGGCACUUGCUGAGCAUAAGCAAUGGCUAUGUGUAUAGAAACAAGUUUUUGUCGUUCAGGUCAGCAACUGUGCACACUUGAUUGGGCAUGCUACCUGGAAGUAAAUUGAUGGUAUUAUUGAAAAUCUUUGGUAUAUACUUGAGAUAGUAGUUCUUCCACAGUUCACAGUGUUCUACAGAAGGGCUGGAUUUGUAACUGCUUGUGUAAAAACUAGAGUAUAUUCUUUCAGAAAAUAUAGGAAUUACUCUCUAAACAUAUGCAAAUAAAAUAAGUUAAUUUACAUUAAAAGCAGUGAAAUUUAAAAUAGAGUAUCAUUUAAGACAUAUAUGGCCAAAUGUUAAACUUCCCAAACAACUAGGGAAGGUACAUUCUUUAGUUUCCAGUAUUGUUUUAAAAAAUAGCUUAGCUUAGAAAGAGGAUUUAUAUUUUUUAGAGUUUAUGAUCACUUUCUUUCCCUGUUUUUUUGAGAUGGAAAACCUCUUUAAUAGAGGCUGGAGAAUGUUUUGAUGUAGAGCAUUGUAAGACAACUAUUUUGAAAGACAGUAUCAGUGAUGGUUUGCAGUCAUAACAUGAGAGAAAGUGUCUGUGUCUGCAGGAAGCUGGAAUCUCAGGGGAUGUUUCCUGGAACCAGGGCCUGAGGAGUUUUGGUAGGGUGAAGGGGAGCAUUGCAAGCUGAUGACUGGGCUUUUUAUUUCUAUUUAGUCAUUUGUAUUUUUGUAUUUACUACUGAUCUCUUAAAAGAUGUCAUCUUCUUGAAACUGUCAAUAAUUUAAAAAAAAAAAAGUCAAAUGUUGGUUUUAAACUCCAUAUUUCCUACUUUCAACAGUAUUUUUUUUUUCCCUUGGCUUUGCUGAUUUGUAAAGACUGGCAUGGAAGGAUAAGUGACUGAACAAAUAUUGCUGUGUACUCAAGUCAAAGGAUCAACAGGACUGUCAAAUAUCUAGGCAUGUUUUAACUGAAAUAUUACAACAAGUAGUAGUGCAUUGGAGGAAAAGGUACUACAUGCCCUUUGGUACCCAUUUACUCAUUUGCUUCAAUUCUACUUGAAGGGCUUUAUCUUCCUUUUUGUAAGUGUGGACUUCAUUAUGUUGCAAGCUCAGAGGUGCCUGCCAGGCAGUAUUCAUCUGUUUGCGGAUGAUCAUAAAUCUUGUAGUGCUGUGGGUGGUGUAUUUUGGUAUUGAAUUCACUUUGUGAUGAAAAUUAUUGUACAGCUCUAGAGAGACACUGCAAGCAUACUUUGUCCUCCCACUUGUUCUGUGUGUAGUCCUGAACAGUAACUUCUGUAAGCGUGAAAUUCUGUUUAUUUCAAUUUUUUUACUAUUUUUAAUGAAAAUUGAGUUCGUCAGUGUCAAUGUUAAGUCUCAAUGCUGGGCUGUCAAUCUGUUUUUAAUAUUGUAUUUGUCUUAGGCACUGUAUCCACAUUCCAGGGCAAAAUUGUGUAUGUUGUGUCCACUUGCUGAAGGAUUCUUCCUCUGAGCCUACUGAAUUCAUAGGAGUUUGGCAGCUGACUUUACUUGGACCAGCAUUUUACCCACCUUUCUAAUUCCAGAAUAAAAAAA